GAAUUCACUAGUGAUUCAGGCCUAACACAUGCAAGUCGAGCGGUAGCACAGGAGAGCUUGCUCUCCGGGUGACGAGCGGCGGACGGGUGAGUAAUGUCUGGGAAACUGCCUGAUGGAGGGGGAUAACUACUGGAAACGGUAGCUAAUACCGCAUAACGUCGCAAGACCAAAGAGGGGGACCUUCGGGCCUCUUGCCAUCAGAUGUGCCCAGAUGGGAUUAGCUAGUAGGUGGGGUAAUGGCUCACCUAGGCGACGAUCCCUAGCUGGUCUGAGAGGAUGACCAGCCACACUGGAACUGAGACACGGUCCAGACUCCUACGGGAGGCAGCAGUGGGGAAUAUUGCACAAUGGGCGCAAGCCUGAUGCAAAGAGGCCGCGUGUAUGAAGAAGGCCUUCGGGUUGUAAAUUAAUGCAGCGAGGAGGAAGGCAUUGUGG
rnacentral:rRNA from 1 species